AUGUGUCUGUUCUGUGUUUGUGCCUUUCUUGGCAGGAGGAGGCGGGAUGCACCAUCCUGGGGGCACGGAUGGGAAGUUGAGGCCCUUAGCUUCAAGAUGUUCUCCCAUUCCCUGGGAUGGAGCUGGAGAGAAGGCUCUGGUCCCCACAGUGGUCAUACUCCAUGCCUGCCAUCCCUGCUGGAAAACUGCAGAAUUUGCUGGUCUGCAAGCUACAGCCAUUCUCCACUGGGAGGCUGUUUACCUUUCUCAACAUUGGAACUGAGCAAAAUGGAGCUGGAGAGAGAACUUCAAAAUGAGUGUGACACUGGUUACUUCAAAAUGAGUGUGACACUGGUUUCCUCACAGUGCUCUCAGGACAGCUUUGUGUGGGUUCGUGAGACACAAUUGUAAUUAUUUUCUAAAGUGUGAUAUAAGAUUAUGAUUACCAGGAAAAUCUCUCUGCCCUUCAAAGUACAGCCUUCCAAGUUUUGGGGGUGAGAAGGUGUGUGUGUAACAUAUGUGUGUGAGGAGGGUGGGUAAAGUGUAAGUGCGGAAGUCUGUGUUUGCCCACAGGGGCGUCUGGGGCC
rnacentral:lncRNA from 1 species